rnacentral:rRNA from 1 species
GAAAAGAAACUAACUAGGAUUCCCUCAGUAGCGGCGAGCGAACAGGGAAGAGCCCAGCACCGAAUCCCGCGGCCGAUCCCGGACGCCGGGAAAUGUGGUGUUAGGGAGGGUCCGCUAUCCCGAGGUCGCGCGGCGCGUCCAAGUCCUUCUUGAACGGGGCCACUUACCCAAAGAGGGUGCCAGGCCCGUAGCGGCCGCCGCCGAUCGCGGGAGGAUCUCUCCUCAGAGUCGGGUUGCUUGAGAGUGCAGCCCUAAGUGGGUGGUAAACUCCAUCUAAGGCUAAAUAUAACCACGAGACCGAUAGCGAACAAGUACCGUGAGGGAAAGUUGAAAAGAACUUUGAAGAGAGAGUUCAAUAGUACGUGAAACCGUUCAGGGGUAAACCUGAGAAAUCCGAAAGAUCGAAUGGGGACAUUCAGCGCGUCUCGCCUGGCGGCGAGCUCAGGACGCGAGACGAUAGGGCGUUCGCGCUCUGUCGCUCCUUCCGAAGCCGCGACCGCUGGCGAACGCGUGCACUUCUCCCCUAGUAGGACGUCGCGACCCGUUGGGUGUCGGUCUAAGGACCGCGGUGGAGCCCGCCGGGUAACGGUUCAUCCCGUUGCCUUGCGGACCCGCGGUUUCCCGACCCGCUCACUCGACGGUAAAACGGUGGCGAAGGGUCGCGAGUGUUCGCGCCCGGCCCGUCGCAAGCGUUACCGUUCGCCCGGAUUUCGGACCUGCGCGCCGAUACCGGGCACGGUUGGCUGCUGGCGGCGGUGUCCUCGGGCCGGCCCCGAUACACGCCCGUCGGCGACGCUUUAGCUUUGGAUACUUUCAGGACCCGUCUUGAAACACGGACCAAGGAGUCUAGCAUGUGCGCGAGUCAUUGGGACUCUACUAAACCUAAAGGCGCAAUGAAAGUGAAGGCCGCCUUGCGCGUGCCGAGGGAGGACCGGUCGGACCGAUUUUGUGUCCGCGCCGUGCACUCCCGGGGCGUCUCAUGCUCAUCGCGAGCUGAGGCGCACCCAGAGCGUACACGCUGGGACCCGAAAG